rnacentral:snRNA from 1 species
AGAUGUGAGGGCAAUCUGGCUGCGACAUCUGUCACCCCAUUGAUUGUCACGGUUGAUUCGGCUGAUCUGGCUGGCUAGGUGGGUGUCCCAUUCCCCCCUCACCACUUCAUGUGUGUCCCUCCCAAAGCUGCAUGCUUGGUCAAAGAGGAUGAUCAUUCCCAAUAGAGGACUGUUCUUUGGUCAAGGGUAUACAAGUAGCUGCGCUCCCCUGCUAGAACCUCCAAACAAGCUCUCAAGGAGUCAUGGGAAAUGGUGACAGUGUCUGGGUGGGAAAGGGCCAUGACAGGUGGUCAUGGA